rnacentral:lncRNA from 1 species
UUGUGUGGAUAGUUGUUGAAUUUGGUGUUCCUGUUGCGGAGACCAUCGCUGGAGGGUUCUAUUCGGCCGUCUUGCUCCAUCUCCUGAAGCCUGACUUUUUUGAGCAUGCCCUAACACUAAAGGAAGCCAAAAGAUUGAACACCCCUGUCGUAGAUGGUAAUGAGUCCUGGAUGAAAAAGCCUGCACCCAGCUCUCUUCCUGGUGUGCUCAGCCUCCUCCUGUGAUGUAUCUGGAUUUCAUCCUCCAUGGUGAAAGGCAAAAGGCUGUUUAUCUCUUCUCUGGUCUGUGUAUGAAAGCUACAUGAAAAUGAGCAUUGAAAGGGUUAAGUGCACUCUUCAUGCAGAAAGACAAAACUUGUGGAUUUUCUAUUCCAUUGGGUCCAAACAAGAAGAACGGUCUGUUGCUAUUAUUUUAGGAUUCAACUCAAUAGCUGAUAAAUUUGAUUUCUUUCACACUCGGCAAAGACUUGAAACAUUGUAGCCCCAGAAUGGGAAGUCUCUUCUCCGAACUUAUGAACAUGUAACUCUUCAGUUCUCCCUCAACUUUAUUAAGCAUAUUGAGUUUCAAAAGACAUUCCUACUCUCCUUCUUCAAUAUCUUCUCUUUUUAAACGUUACUUUAUUUUUUAAAUGUAUUAUGCAGUUUUUAAGACUUUCAAAAAGGGAUAAGGAAAACCAAACCAAUACCUACGUAUCUAUCAAGCAGCUCAAGAAAUACAACAUUAGGAGCAGUUAAAUCCACUAUUUAUGCUCACUGCCUUCUAGAUAGAGUCUGUUACUUCCCAGAGGUCAAUUCCUGAGAGCCUAGGGACCUGGGCAUUGUCUUUGCCAUCUUUGUGAGGCCCUGGAGAUUCCCUUUAUGUCUCUGGCUUCUAUGUUGUCGAAGUCUAGGUUGACCUCGUGAUUUUUGAGGCUGUGGGUUAGCCUUGCAAUGUCUGGAACUUGGCUAUGGGUUUUGAAUGCUUUUCCUUGGGCCUUGUCGUCAGAUGGAAGCGCACAUAGCUUCCCAUGGCCACCUCUUCCAGGAUGUUCAAUGAGAAGUCCCAAAGCCCCGCAUGAGGAUCAGCCUGAGAGGCCAAGGGAAGCUGACCAAGCUCUCUGAACUUGAAAUGGACUAGACUCAUAAAGGAGGAAGCAGUGCCACUGUUUCCUGGAGCCUCAGCCCCCUAUGGGGACACCUUGUACUGACAGGGUGAGCCGGGCUGAGGCUGGGUUUGAGGGCAGGUCCAGCUGUCCUCUCACUUGGCCUCUUCUGAGCAGGGUUUCUCUUCCAGCCGUGGCACUGUCCUGGCUGGAGAGCUUCAGGGCAGUGUCUGCCCCAUACCCUCAUCUGGGCUCUGAGAUGGCUUCGUGGGUCAUUUUUGGUGAAGGGGGAGCUCAGAAUAUUUGCAUUAUUUUGUGGACAUUGGUCUUGACUAAGAAUAACUAAGAAUUGAAGGCCCAGGGGUCUUAAAGAUAAGAAAAAAAUGCAAAAACUUAAGGAGUCAUUUGCCCUGUUGCUCCUGGAUAUUGCAGCCAAAUAAACACAUUCCCAAAUUUAUUUAUGUUGCAGACCAGUCAUUUUUCCUUAUACAGGAAUCUUAUUAAAGCAAUAAAUCAAUGUUAACCUGGGUUUUAAAUUGGCCCAAUAUGUUUGGAGAAAUUGCUGGUUUAAUUUUCCUCUUUUUCAUUUUUCAAUUAACUAAUUUAGCUUUCCCAGUUGGGAUACCACAAACCUUAACACAUGAAUUUAUCUUGAAACCAGGAGGCCCCAACAUACAUUGCCAGCAAAACAAAAGAGGAAAACCCAACAUUUGUCCUGUCAUGAGACAGCAAAGAAGCACGGGUCCAGAAAAUAUCUAUCUUUGUUGCUGCAAACUACCUAAGCCUAAGCUCUGUGAAGCAGCCUCAACUGCCUGUAGACUCCCCUGAAUACUCUUUCUGAAUUUUCUCCACAUUCACUGUGACUAAAAGUUUCCAGAGCAUCUCUGUUGUAGACUGAAUGUUUAUAUCCCUCCUACUUCCCCAAAACUCAUAUGUUGAAGCCCUGACCCCUGAUGUGACUGUAUUUGGAGACAGGGCCUUUACAGAAGUAAUUAAGGUUAAAUGAGGCUAUAGGAUGGGGCUCUGAUCUAAUAGGAUUGGUGUCCUUAAGAGACACCAGAGAGCUUGUUUACUCUCUGAGUGUACAAGAAGAGGUCGUAUGGGCACACAAUGAGAUGGUGGCCACCUGCGAAGAGAAGAGGCCUCAGAAUGAAACCCACCCUUCUGGCACCUUGAUCUUGGA